rnacentral:rRNA from 1 species
CUAAACUGUUGUUUGCCUUAUUUUUAUUAAAAACUUUAUAUUUAAAAAUUUUGCUCUGUUUGUCCGGUUGAUCUUUACUUUUCAGAAGUUCCUAAUUUUCUCCCCUAGUGAAAUCUUUAAGAGAGAUUUUUAUAGAAAUAAUAAAUCUGGUGCCAGCAUUUGCGGUUAUACCAGAAUUUUAAAGAUAUUUAUUAAGGUAUAUAAUUUAAUAGAACUAACAUUUGUAAUACGAGCUAGGUGAAAUUCUUCUUUAUCCUUCAAGUUCUUAAUAUUUUUAAAAAAUAAGACCUUAAACUAGGAUUAGAUACCCUACUAUACUUAUUUUAAAACGAGCCCAUUAAAAAAUUACAUAUAAAAUUUGAAGGUUUGGCGGCUUUUUUAUUUAGAGGAACUUGUCUAUUAAAAUGAUACGCCCCAUUAUUUUCGUUUUUAACUAAGUUUUGUAUACCAUCAUUUUAAUGAUUUCUAAAUAAAUAAUCAUUUUAAAAUUUUUUAAGACGUUAGAUCAAGGUGCAGAUAUAUUUAAAAUUAGAUUAGUUACAUUAAUAGAUUAUUACGGUGUUAAAUAAAAUUUUAGUGAAGGUGGAUUUAAAUGUAAUAUAAGCAUAUAUAUGAAAAUUAAUAAUUUAGUGUACAAAUUGCCCGUCACUCUCUAUGAGAUAAGUCGAAACAAAGUAGAAAUACCUGAAGGUGUUUCU